GUUUAGGAAGGGGAGAACACUCAUAGCCUUACUCUACGAGAUCUCAUGUGGAUGGAUGUUACUCAGAGAACGCUGCAUUUUUGGAACACUGUCUGGAAAGGUUUUCGGACUUAACUGGAUUAUAGUUUGGGACUAAAUUGUUUGUUUAUGGAAUUUGUCUAUUUCGUAGACCGCAUCCUGAACGCUAUUGUCAGGAAUGCUUUCUCUGAUCUUUUUUUUUUAACUAAAAGAUUAUGGAUUGGGUCAAUUUUGUGCAUUCUGAGUCAAGAUGUGGUAGAGGACAUUCAUAUUUUCUGUUGACCUUUAAAGGACACAAUACUUGUGGACUAAUGGCAAGGUCCAAAUGUGACUCCAGGAUGUGCUGAUAACGAAGUCUCCUGUAUAAGACCAUCUGUAAAAAAAAAAAAUUAAAUAAUUUGUUUCCAGAUACAUUUUUUAAGGAGACGUAUUGUCAUGCAGCCCCUUGAGGAAAUAACAUUGAGUAAAGUUAAGAAAA